GCCGAAGUGGCGGAACUGGCAGACGCGCGCGACUCAAAAUCGCGUUCCUUCGGGAGUGUGGGUUCGACUCCCACCUUCGGCAUCA
rnacentral:tRNA from 1 species